UAUCAACGAAGAGAUGAAGUUCAGCUAACCCAUUACAGAAAUGAAUCGUUGAAAAGAAGCAAAGAAUCAUGGAGAACGAAUCAGAAUUUUGCACAGUGCGAAGGCAGACCAGUCUCAUGGUUCACCGCUACAAUCUCAGAAACUUCACAUUUCAGCACAUCUUGCCCUAGCUUGGCUCCGGCGGACUUGAGUCCCUUCAGCGACACCGGUUGAUUGAAGAGGUUCAGCGAUGGAAGUUUCGAAGCCGCCGGUAAUUUCCCAUUCGAUUUUGAAGAACAUAUGCGUUUCUCUUUGGGACAACAAGGGUGAGGAUUUGAUCUUUUGACUUUAAAAGAGAAGUACGUAUCAAUUACCGUUGAAUUAUGCUUUACUUUGGUAAAAACGAUACGUGUUUGAGUACUUAUUUUAGGUUUUGAACCUUGGAUCUCGAGGGAAGAAGGCUCUUAAAGGUUCAAUUUUAUCUUUUGUAUGUUAAGUUCUUAGUUUAAAUCUAAUUCUCGAGAGCACUAAAUACAUUUUUUUCGAA